CGCGGCCUAUCAGCUUGUUGGUGGGGUAACGGCCUACCAAGGCAUCGACGGGUAGCUGGUCUGAGAGGAUGAUCAGCCACACUGGGACUGAGACACGGCCCAGACUCCUACGGGAGGCAGCAGUGGGGAAUCUUGCGCAAUAGGCGAAAGCCUGACGCAGCAACGCCGCGUGCGGGAAGAAGGCCUUCGGGUUGUAAACCGCUUUCAGAAGGAACGAAACUGACGGUACUUUCAGAAGAAGGUGCGGCCGACUACGUGCCAGCAGCCGCGGUGACACGUAGGCACCAAGCGUUGUCCGGAUUUAUUGGGCGUAAAGAGCUCGUAGGCGGUUCGGUAAGUCGGGUGUGAAAACUUUGGGCUCAACCCAAAGCGUGCAUUCGAUACUGCCGUGACUAGAGUUCGGUAGGGGAGUGGGGAAUUCCUAGUGUAGCGGUGAAAUGCGCAGAUAUUAGGAGGAACACCGGUGGCGAAGGCGCCACUCUGGGCCGAAACUGACGCUGAGGAGCGAAAGCGUGGGUAGCAAACAGGAUUAGAUACCCUGGUAGUCCACGCCGUAAACGUUGGGCACUAGGUGUGGGUCUCAACCAACGAGAUCCGCGCCGUCGCAAACGCAUUAAGUGCCCCGCCUGGGGAGUACGGA
rnacentral:rRNA from 1 species